CCAACGUGGAUAUCCUGUGAGGUUGCUCUCAUGGGCUCUGUCCUGGUGGCCUAUGGGAGCGUAGCGUCUUUUGGCGCAGUGACGUAUAAUCCCCUUCCACAACGUUGAAGAGCAAGUUUGUCCCCAGCUCUUGGGCUGGUGUGGACAAUGCCCUGUAUAUUCCUACAACUUUCCUGAGCCCUUGGGCAUUGAAUGGGAAGACAAACCAUGCAGGGCACAUUC